rnacentral:lncRNA from 1 species
CCAGCCUCCCCAACCUAGAGAGGAUCCUGAUUUUCCUGUCACCGCAGGACCCAACCACAGAGGUGCUUCAAAGCUCUUGCUUUGGUCUGAUGCUGCAUCCGACCCAGUUCCAGGGAGAGGCUCAGAGCUGAGUGGCCAGCUGUACCUACUGUGUUUAAAGCCCAGUGGAGCUUUCAAUUUUGUGAUAAGGAGAGAACAAAAUGAGAUUGAUAACUGACUUAAAAGGAAGUGUCUGCACGCCUUUCCUCAGCUGAGCAUCUUCUGGAAAACUGAUGUCACCUAGUGUUCUUAGCACCCAUCAAGCCUAUUCCUAAAGGCCACCUUAUUUUUUAAGAUAGGGUAUCUCUGUGAACUUGGCAUUCAAGAGUUUGCCUAGACAAGCUGGCCAGUGAGUCCCAUGGAUCUUCUUUCAGCUUCUCCAGCACUGAGAUUACAGGCAAGUACAUAUGGUUUUCUAGGUAGAUGC